GGGGCAGACUGGAUUUGACUGCGGCCGGAAGGGUAUGUAAGCAUGCAGAGCCGCGUGGAUAGGCUCUAUAAUCUGAGGUUCACACACCAUUUAACUGGCGAAAACAACUUUGCUCUCGCUGCUUAGUCGAAGUACAGUAGGCUAACUUUAUCGCUGCUCCAGGAGCGGCGACGAGACAUCACCCGGCAGCCCUGCUCUGAGGCUCGCAGACACGGUGGUGCAGGCAAAUCGGAGAUAGCCGUCAUGCGCCUCGGCGUGCACGGUGAAGACUCACAGAGGAUAAGGUCGUGGUCGGGCGCUCUGUCCCUGCCUUGACUCGAAAACCAACACAGAGAUAAGCAUGUAGAAAGCAUAUCAGUUCACCGUUAGGACGAGGGUUCGAACCCCUCCUGCUCCACUA
rnacentral:tmRNA from 1 species